rnacentral:rRNA from 1 species
GAUGAACGCUGGCGGCGUGCCUAAUACAUGCCAGUCGAGCGAACGGACGAGAAGCUUGCUUCUCUGAUGUUAGCGGCGGACGGGUGAGUAACACGUGGAUAACCUACCUAUAAGACUGGGAUAACUUCGGGAAACCGGAGCUAAUACCGGAUAAUAUUUUGAACCGCAUGGUUCAAAAGUGAAAGACGCUCUUGCUGUCACUUAUAGAUGGAUCCGCGCUGCAUUAGCUAGUUGGUAAGGUAACGGCUUACCAAGGCAACGAUGCAUAGCCGACCUGAGAGGGUGAUCGGCCACACUGGAACUGAGACACGGUCCAGACUCCUACGGGAGGCAGCAGUAGGGAAUCUUCCGCAAUGGGCGAAAGCCUGACGGAGCAACGCCGCGUGAGUGAUGAAGGUCUUCGGAUCGUAAAACUCUGUUAUUAGGGAAGAACAUAUGUGUAAGUAACUGUGCACAUCUUGACGGUACCUAAUCAGAAAGCCACGGCUAACUACGUG